AGAAAGCCAAUUUUUUUAUAUCAAUAAGUAUCUUAGUGAGAUACAAUUGUUUUCAAUAAAUGACAAUAGACUUCCUGCAAGUGCUUUAUUAUCUCUUCCUCGCUCAGAGGUUUUGAGAAGAAAAAGGUAGGUGUCUAGCUCUAGAGAGAAGCCCAUUUGUUGGGGCAUAGGGGUUGCAGUCGGAAAAAUUUUGUUAUGAUCUUCAGAGGCCCUUGUCCCCAGCCGUGGUAAAGGAUCGACUUUCUUUGUAUCUCUUUGGGCCAAAGGCGCAUGAGCAUCACUGAGGUAUCUCUCGUUAAUUUUGCAAAGAAGUUGGGUAUCAGUCCUCUAUAAAUUCUUGUCUCUCUCUUUCCCUCCUUUCUUUCCUUUAAUUUGGAGGAUUCCUUAUUCACCUCUGAUUUAUUUUCUUUUCUCUUUAUUUUUUUUCUUUCCUUUGGCUUGGAGGACUCUUUGUCCUCCACUAAUGCAUCUUCUUUUCUCUUUCUUUUUUUUUUGGCUAGAAUGUUUCGCCUCUUUCUGAAAAUGCUUCUUAUUUUAUGAAGAAAAUAAUGGACUUCAAAAUUCUUGUUUUCCGGUGUUCUAGCCUAAUUUUCUCACAGUUCAUUCAGGUCAAUUUUCACUCAAUUUUUAUUACAUUUCUUAAUUCUUAAAAUCUCUUUAAUCUAUAGAAUUGGAUUAUCAAAACCAAUUCCAUUCUUAUUCAAGGCUUGCUAGCUAGCAAAGUUGCAAUUAAAGAUCUCCUUUCGAGAAGUUAAAAGUAGCGAAAUUGGUUCAAAGAAUAAAGUUAUAAUAAAUUUACAUGUCAAGAAUAUUUUACCAAAGUGAAAAAGAUAGAGUAGGAAUUAAGUCAAACAGGUCAUUAUCG
rnacentral:lncRNA from 1 species